rnacentral:rRNA from 1 species
UACGUGGAGGGGCAAGCGUUUGUCCGGAUUUAUUGGGCGUAAAGAGCUCGUAGGCGGCUCAGUAAGUCGGGUGUGAAACCUCCAGGCUCAACCUGGAGACGCCACCCGAUACUGCUGUGGCUUGAGUCCGGUAGGGGAGCGUGGAAUUCCUGGUGUAGCGGUGAAAUGCGCAGAUAUCAGGAGGAACACCAGUGGCGAAGGCGGUGCUCUGGGCCGGAACUGACGCUGAGGAGCGAAAGCCAGGGGAGCAAACGGG